CUAGAGCUAAUACAUGCCACGAAGCCCUGACCCUUGCGGGGAUGGGUGCACUUAUUAGAUCAGAAGCCAACCGUGUAUGGCCGCAAGGCUGUGCAUGUUGUCCUUCUGGUGACUCUGGAUAAUUGUUACAGAUCGCAGUCGGCCUUGAGUCGGCGACGGGUCCUUCAAAUGUCUGCCCUAUCAACUUUCGAUGGUAGGUGACCUGCCUACCAUGGUGAUAACGGGUAACGGGGAAUCAGGGUUCGAUUCCGGAGAGGGAGCCUGAGAAACGGCUACCACUUCCAAGGNAGGCAGCAGGCGCGCAACUUACCCACUCCCGGCACGGGGAGGUGGUGACGAAAAAUAUCGAUGCGGGACUCUUUAAGAGGCCCCGUAAUCGGAAUGAGUGAACUAUAAAUCCUUUGACGAGGAUCAAUUGGAGGGCAAGUCUGGUGCCAGCAGCCGCGGUAACUCCAGCUCCAAUAGCGUAUAUUAAAGUUGCUGCAGUUAAAAAGCUCGUAGUUGGAUCUCGGUAGCACUGUUGCCUGUUAGUUUUGUGCAGUUCGGUCAGCGAUGCAUGGGCGCCGCCUGUGUGUUGUCUCGGCCGGCUGUUGCAAGCUGGCAUGGUGUCGGUGUCGCCUUUCAGCCAUGUCUGUGGUGCAAUACCCACAGGUGUAGGCGAGUGUCAGGCGGUGCUUUGCGACAGCAAGGUCCGUCGGCUCGUUUGCAUGCCUUUGGAUGCCCUUUAAAAGGUGUCUGUAGGCGGAUGGCACGUUUACUUUGAACAAAUUUGAGUGCUCAAACCAGGCCGAUGUUGCCUGAAAAGUUUUGCAUGGAAUAAUGGAAUAGGACUUCGGUUCUAUUUUGUUGGGUUUCGGAUCCGAAGUAAUGAUCAAAAGAGACAGGCGGGGGCAUUUGUAUGGAACUUAAAAGAAUUGACGGAAGGGCACCACCAGGAGUGGAGCCUGCGGCUUAAUUUGACUCAACACGGGAAAACUCACCCGGGCCGGACACUAUGAGGAUUGACAGAUUGAAAGCUCUUUCUUGAUUCAGUGGUUGGUGGUGCAUGGCCGUUCUUAGUUGGUGGAGCGAUUUGUCUGGUUAAUUCCGAUAACGAACGAGACUCUGGCCUGCUAAUUAGUGCAUCUGUCCACUGUUCCUGUGAAUGCGGCGUUCGACAAGGCUGCCUUUAUUGGUUGCUGUUAGCCUAGUAGUGCCCUCGGGUGUUGCUGGGUGCGCAGUAGUCAGGGGUGGCUGGCUCGGCGUUAGCUUCCGGGUACGGCGCGGAUGUCUACUUCUUAGAGGGACAAUUGGAAGAAACCAAACGAAAUAGAGCAAUAACAGGUCUGUGAUGCCCUUAGAUGUCCGGGGCCGCACGCGCGCUACAAUGACGGUGGCAACGAGUCAGACCUUCUGGCCCGAAAGGGUUGGACAAACUGGUCAAUCACCGUCAUGACAGGGAUCGGGGCUUGUAAUUGUUCCCCGUGAACGAGGAAUUCCUAGUAAGUGCAAGUCAUAAGCUUGCGCUGAUUACGUCCCUGCCCUUUGUACACACCGCCCGUCGCUACUACCGAUUGAAUGGUUUAGUGAGGUCCUUGGAUCGGCGCCAUUGUGGCUGUUGCCGAAAGGUGAUGGUCCGAC
rnacentral:rRNA from 1 species